CAGCAUUCUAGCCCAGUUAAAGAAUGGGCUUUGUGAAGAAAAUAAUACCUGUACAAACUUGAUUGUCAAGAUCUGGUUGACACAAGACCCUCCGUGGCACAGAGUGGUAAGCGGUGGUAAUGCAGCCGAAGCUCUGCUCACGGCCGGAGUUCGAUUCCAAUGGAAGGAGGAAGUCAAAUCUCUGAUCUAUAUUUCAGCUUACUCCUAUGAAUGCACAGCAGCUCUUCACAACAGACCAUCAAAUUCCACCAAAGGCCUGGGGCAGAGGUGGACAAUACGGACCCCUAGACCUCUCUAUAUGGCCCUUGGGACUCUCUCCAGGCCAUGCACCUUCCAACGCCACACCUUUCACUGGCUCUGCUCCCUCCUUAAGUGCAUUUGACAGACUGGAAUGUCUCUUUGAACUGUGAUAAUGCCUCUUCCUGUCAUGGCCCCGUCAGAGGACUCCUCAGAUGAGGACGACUCGGGAGUAACAGCAGCAGACCCAGGAGCAGCAGGAGACACGGAGGAGCCUCCUGAGAAUCCAGCUCCUUCUGCCCCUCAGCUGCAGAGCACCCC